rnacentral:rRNA from 1 species
CCUACGGGCGGCAGCAGUGGGGAAUCUUGGGCAAUGGGCGCAAGCCUGACCCAGCAACGCCGCGUGAAGGAAGAAGGCUUUCGGGUCGUAAACUUCUUUUGUCAGGGAAGAGUAGAAGACGGUACCUGACGAACAAGCUAUGGCUAACUCUGUGCCAGCAGCCGCGGUAAUACGUAGGUCGCAAGCGGUGUCCGGAUUUACUGGGUGAAAACGGUGUGUAUCCGGGUUGACAAGUCAGAUGUGAAAUCCUUCGGCUUAACCGAAGAACUGCAUUUGAAACUGUCUAUCUUGAGUGCUGGAGGGGCAGACGGAAUUCCAAGUGUAGCGGUGAAAUGCGUAGAUAUUAGGAGGAACACCAGUGGCGAAGGCGGUCUGCUGGACUGCAACUGACGGUGAGGCGCGAAAGCGUGGGGAGCAAACAGGAUUAGAUACCCGAGUAGUC